CUGGAGGAAAUUGAGCAUUGUAUAGAGGAUGUAGUACUUACUCUUUGCUGUAGGGGGCGCUAUGGUUGAAGUUGACUAUUGUUAUGUCAAUGUGUUCAGAGGCCAACCCUGAACAUACCUGAGAAAUUAGAAAAAGAUCAGACAAAGUAUAUAAGCUGUAGUACUUACUCCUUGCAGUAGGGGGUGCUAUGGUUAAAGUAAAUGAUUGUUAUGUCAAUGUGUUCAGAGGCCAACCCUGAUCAUACCUGGGAAAUUUUAAGCAAAUCCGACAAAGUAUAUAUGAUGUAGUGCUUAGUCCUUGCAGUAGGGGGCGCUAUGGUUAAAGUUGACUAUUGUUAUGCCAAUGUGUUCAGAGGCCAACCCUGAUCAUACCUGGGAAAUUUUAAGCAGAUCCGAGAAAGUAUGUAUGAUUUACAGCCACUUCCUGUUUGAUGGCGAUGUGAUUUGUGGACUUCCUGUUGAGUUUUGGGCGUGGGUUGAAGAGUCUUUUUUGUAGGUUUUGUCAUGUUGGAAAUGCAUAGUAAAAUUCAGAAUUGUAGGUUCAACGUGCUGCGGGGGCUGAAUG